rnacentral:lncRNA from 1 species
CUCAGCUGCUCAGUCAGAAUCGGGCUGAGCAUCCUCCAUAAGCCGCUGAUGUCUGGGAUCUGGAAAUGUGCAGCUGCCUCUGUCUAGGAUGAUGGUCACAGAUAUACCUUUGAUGGCUUUAAGGAAAUUGACAUAGCAUCACCCAACAACCAUCUGUUCUCAUACUUUAAGCCUACUCUCGGAAUCACUGCAAGUAGAGAGGGGAACUCUCUUCAGCGUUAUGUUGGAGUUCUACUUGGUAUCCUCAAGGGAGGCAAAACAUGUAGACCUUGGGAGCUCAUUUUCUGACAGAAUUUGGAACUUACCACUGUGAGAUCCAGGGAAAAUUACUUAACCUCUCUGAGUCUGCUUUCUCAGACUAUUGACUGUGUCUGUAUUGGAAGGAGAUCAUCGUAGUACUUGUUGGGU